CCGCGCUUUCCUGCAAAACGACGAAAAGGCACAGCCCUAGGUGGACGGAAGCGCGGCAGCUUCCGAAAGCAAAGUCGGCCUGGGACGGCCUGGGCUCGCAGCAGGCCCCUCUGAGAUCAGAAACCACGGAUGCUUCCAUGGAAUGUCCCUGUCUGACGUCGAGGUCCUCGUCUACCUUGUUCCCAGAGGACGCCCGCAGCCCGGAGGAGGGCGGACACAGAGCAGGCCUUGGAUCUCCAGACACCUCAGAUCCAGGAUCUCCCCUCGGGACACGCACGCCCUGCCCUGGCGGAAAGUGCUGAGCCGACACCCCACCCCCCCACCAGCCCCCACCCC